rnacentral:rRNA from 1 species
GUCCUACGGGACGCAGCCGUGAGGAAUAUUGGUCAAUGGACGGAAGCCUGAACCAGCCAAGUCGCGUGAGGGAAUAAGGCCCUACGGGUCGUAAACCUCUUUUGCCGGGGAGCAAGGGCCGGGACGCGUCCCGGCCCGGAGAGUACCCGGAGAAAAAGCAUCGGCUAACUCCGUGCCAGCAGCCGCGGUAAUACGGAGGAUGCGAGCGUUAUCCGGAUUUAUUGGGUUUAAAGGGUGUGUAGGCGGGCUUUUAAGUCAACGGUAAAAAUUCGGGGCUCAACCCCGUCCGGCCGUUGAAACUGGGG